GAUGAACGCUGGCGGCGUGCUUAACACAUGCCAGUCGAACGGAAAGGCUCCUGCUUGCAGGGGUACUCGAGUGGCGAACGGGUGAGUAACACGUGGGUGAUCUGCCCUGCACUUCGGGAUAAGCCUGGGAAACUGGGUCUAAUACCGGAGAGGAACACAUUUUGGAUGGUGUGGUGGAAAGUUUUUCGGUGUGGGAUGAGCUCGCGGCCUAUCAGCUUGUUCGUUGGGUAAUGGCAUACCAAGGCGUUGACGGGUAGCCGGCCUGAGAGGGUGUACGGCCACAUUGGGCCUGAGAUACGGCCCAGACUCCUACGGGAGGCAGCAGUGGGGAAUCUUGCAGAAUGGGCGCAAGCCUGAUGCAGCGACGCCGCGUGGGGGAUGACGGCCUUCGGGUUGUAAACUCCUUUCGCUAGGGACGAAGCGCAAGUGACGGUACCUGGAGAAGAAGCACCGGCUAACUACGUG
rnacentral:rRNA from 1 species